rnacentral:rRNA from 1 species
GACGAGCCACACAAACGUUAUUCGGAAUUACUGGGCUUACAGGGUGCGUAGGCUGUGCAGCAAGUGGGGUGUGAAAUCCUACGGCUUAACCGUAGAACUGCGCUCCAAACUGCUGUGCUCGAGGGAGAUAGAGGUAAGCGGAACUUACGGUGGAGCGGUGAAAUGCGUUGAUAUCGUAAGGAACACCGGUGGCGAAAGCGGCUUACUGGAUCUCUUCUGACGCUGAGGCACGAAAGCUAGGGUAGCGAACGGG